rnacentral:rRNA from 1 species
GUUGUUGGGUAGGGGAGCGUUCUGUAAGCCUGUGAAGGUGUGUCGUGAGGCAUGCUGGAGGUAUCAGAAGUGCGAAUGCUGACAUAAGUAACGAUAAAGCGGGUGAAAAGCCCGCUCGCCGGAAGACCAAGGGUUCCUGUCCAACGUUAAUCGGGGCAGGGUGAGUCGACCCCUAAGGCGAGGCCGAAAGGCGUAGUCGAUGGGAAACGGGUUAAUAUUCCCGUACUUGGUGUUACUGCGAAGGGGGGACGGAGAAGGCUAUGUUGGCCGGGCGACGGUUGUCCCGGUUUAAGCGUGUAGGUGUGUGUUCCAGGUAAAUCCGGUUCACUUUAACACUGAGGCGUGACGACGAGGCACUACGGUGCUGAAGCAACAAAUGCCCUGCUUCCAGGAAAAGCCUCUAAGCAUCAGGUAACAUCAAAUCGUACCCCAAACCGACACAGGUGGUCAGGUAGAGAAUACCAAGGCGCUUGAGAGAACUCGGGUGAAGGAACUAGGCAAAAUGGUGCCGUAACUUCGGGAGAAGGCACGCUGACACGUAGGUGAAGUGAUUUACUCACGGAGCUGAAGUCAGUCGAAGAUACCAGCUGGCUGCAACUGUUUAUUAAAAACACAGCACUGUGCAAACACGAAAGUGGACGUAUACGGUGUGACGCCUGCCCGGUGCCGGAAGGUUAAUUGAUGGGGUCAGCGCAAGCGAAGCUCCUGAUCGAAGCCCCGGUAAACGGCGGCCGUAACUAUAACGGUCCUAAGGUAGCGAAAUUCCUUGUCGGGUAAGUUCCGACCUGCACGAAUGGCGUAAUGAUGGCCAGGCUGUCUCCACCCGAGACUCAGUGAAAUUGAACUCGCUGUGAAGAUGCAGUGUACCCGCGGCAAGACGGAAAGACCCCGUGAACCUUUACUAUAGCUUGACACUGAACAUUGAGCCUUGAUGUGUAGGAUAGGUGGGAGGCUUUGAAGUGUGGACGCCAGUCUGCAUGGAGCCGACCUUGAAAUACCACCCUUUAAUGUUUGAUGUUCUAACGUGGACCCGUUACCCGGGUUGCGGACAGUGUCUGGUGGGUAGUUUGACUGGGGCGGUCUCCUCCUAAAGAGUAACGGAGGAGCACGAAGGUUGGCUAAUCCUGGUCGGACAUCAGGAGGUUAGUGCAAUGGCAUAAGCCAGCUUGACUGCGAGCGUGACGGCGCGAGCAGGUGCGAAAGCAGGUCAUAGUGAUCCGGUGGUUCUGAAUGGAAGGGCCAUCGCUCAACGGAUAAAAGGUACUCCGGGGAUAACAGGCUGAUACCGCCCAAGAGUUCAUAUCGACGGCGGUGUUUGGCACCUCGAUGUCGGCUCAUCACAUCCUGGGGCUGAAGUAGGUCCCAAGGGUAUGGCUGUUCGCCAUUUAAAGUGGUACGCGAGCUGGGUUUAGAACGUCGUGAGACAGUUCGGUCCCUAUCUGCCGUGGGCGCUGGAGAACUGAGGGGGGCUGCUCCUAGUACGAGAGGACCGGAGUGGACGCAUCACUGGUGUUCGGGUUGUCAUGCCAAUGGCACUGCCCGGUAGCUAAAUGCGGAAGAGAUAAGUGCUGAAAGCAUCUAAGCACGAAACUUGCCCCGAGAUGAGUUCUCCCUGAGACUUAGAGUCUCCUGAAGGAACGUUGAAGACGACGACGUUGAUAGGCCGGGUGUGUAAGCGCAGCGAUGCGUUGAGCUAACCGGUACUAAUGAACCGUGAGGCUUAACCUUAC